GAUGAACGCUGGCGGCGCGCCUAACACAUGCAAGUCGAACGGCCGGACCCACCUCGGUGGGCGAGGCAGUGGCGAACGGCUGAGUAACACGUGGGCAACCUGCCCCCCUCCCCGGGACAGCCUCGGGAAACCGUGGGUAAUACCGGAUACACCCCCGACGCCGCAUGGCGCCGGGGGGAAAGCUCCGGCGGGGGGGGAUGGGCCCGCGGCCUGUUAGCUAGUUGGCGGGGCAACGGCCCACCAAGGCGACUAUGGGUAGCUGGGUUGAGAGACCGACCAGCCAGAUUGGGACUGAGACACGGCCCAG
rnacentral:rRNA from 1 species